CAGCCAUAUUAGGUUGCAACACCGGUUCACGUACGAUCACCGACGUUAAGCAACGUCGAGCCUGGUCAGUACCUAGAUUGGCGACCGCUCGGAAACAUCAGGUUCUGUAAG